GACGAACGCUGGCGGCGCGCUUAACACAUGCAAGUCGAGCGAAGCGGCGGACGGGUGAGUAACACGUGAGUAACCUGCCUUAGACAUUGGGAUAGCCUCGGGAAACCGGGAUUAAUACCAAAUGGUCUAACAUGGACUCGCGUCCAAUUAGCUAGUUGGUGAGGUAACGGCCCACCAAGGCGACGAUGGGUAGCCGGCCGUGGCGGGUGAACGGCCAACUGGGAAAUGAGAAACGGUCCAAAUGCUACGGGAGGCAGCAGUGGGGAAUAUUGCACAAUGGAGGGAACGCUGAUGCAGCGACGCCGCGUGAACGAAGAAGGCUUUCGAGUCGUAAAGUUCUUUUAUAUGGGCAGCGGACCCAUAAGAAAAAGCCCCGGCUAACUACGUGCCAGCAGCCGCGGUAAUAC
rnacentral:rRNA from 1 species